rnacentral:lncRNA from 1 species
UCUUAUAUAUUAACUUAAUUACCUGUUUCUAAUGUGCAAUCUGCUGAAUUUUAUUGGCAGGGUAUAUCACAACUUUUAAUGAGCCACAUCUUGCACCAGGCCACACUUUGAAAAAGAAAGAAGGGAGUGGACUUACUCUCUUAACAGAGAGAGCUCGAUGGCUGGAUGAAAUUUCAAAUUUCCAUUUGCAAAUCAGCAGUUUCUAAGGUAGGUAAAAAAAAAGAUUGCACACUUUAACCACAUUCUUUGGUAUUAACACAUCUCCUGAGAAUAUUGAGAGAAAAUACUGUAUUUGCUAAAAAUGUAUAAUUCAAAGCUGGGAAUGUUCAUUAAAUAGAGUUAAGGAUAUUAUCCCUAGGUAGAAGGAGCAAAUAAGAACAUGGAAGAGAGAAAAGCCUGGAUUCUGCAGUAAAAUAGAGGGAAGAAAAUCCCAGAGGGAAAGAAAUAAUAGCUAUGCUUUAAUUGCUCAGGGAACAGUGGUUAGUGGGGUCUGUAGGUGACUCUGGAUUGGAGAUUUCAUUUGAUCCGGACCCUGAUGGAAGUAGGUAAUAAUAAUUAACACUUUAACACUUUUCAGUGCUUAUUAUGAGCUAGGUAUUAUUCUAUGAUAUAUAUAGAUGAUAGACAAAU